UACGGGGGGGGUAAGCGUUGUUCGGAAUUACUGGGCGUAAAGGGCUCGUAGGCGGCCAACUAAGUCAUACGUGAAAUCCCUCAGCUUAACUGGGGAACUGCGUGUGAUACUGGAUGGCUUGGAUUUGGGAGAGGGAUGCGGAAUUCCAGGUGUAGCGGUGAAAUGCGUAGAUAUCUGGAGGAACACCGGUGGCGAAGGCGGCAUCCUGGACCAAUAUUGACGCUGAGGAGCGAAAGCGAGGGGAGCAAACGGG
rnacentral:rRNA from 1 species